UACGUAGGGGGCAAGCGUUGUCCGGAAUCAUUGGGCGUAAAGCGCACGUAGGCGGCUUGUUAAGUCGGUGGUGAAAUCCUGGAGCUCAACUCCAGAACUGCCUUCGAUACUGAGAGUCUCGAGUCCGAGAGAGGUGAGUGGAACUGCGAGUGUAGAGGUGAAAUUCGUAGAUAUUCGCAAGAACACCAGUGGCGAAGGCGGCUCACUGGCUCGGUACUGACGCUGAGGUGCGAAAGCGUGGGGAGCAAACAGG
rnacentral:rRNA from 1 species